GAAUUGGUAGUAAAGAGUCAUUGCUUUUUCCAGCCUCUAUCAUCUUCAAAGCUCUUACUAAAACAACUAAUUAAUCUUCAAAAUGUCACUAAGGUGGCAGUGGACCCAACACCACUCAGGAGCAGUGCACAGGUCACAGCGGGCAUGGCAGAAAGAUCCUGAAGAAAAAAGCCUUUAAUCCAGUAACUCAACAGUCAUGAAGCACUGUUAUGUGCCAGAGCUAUUCUAAAUGUGAAUCUAGAGCUCAGACCCACCAUCUGAGUCUGCCUUGCCACCCUCAGGACAGCUUGACGGACAGUCUGGAACUUCUCCCCCUCCUCCCACGGACGCCCAGUGCAGCCUGGCCUGGUUUCCUCCUUGAGACGGCAGCUCUGCCCUGAGCGAGGGUCACUUCCCUGGGGCCCUGACUCACAGCCUAGCUCUCUCCAGCUCCCGUCCUCACAGGCUGGACUCUGCUCAAAGCUGAGGAGAACACCCAAGUCUCCACACCAUGACGCCCACUGUGCCUGGUACCUUCUGGAGCCACACCAGAUUACAGCUCUUGGAUUGAUGAUGUUGGUCUGGGUGAAGCUGUUUGUUUAUUUAGCUCCUCAGGACAUUCUAACUUGUAUUUCACCCCACUUGAUAGUCCUGUUAAUCUGCAGGACAAGC